rnacentral:lncRNA from 1 species
UUUUUUUUUUUUGAAACGUGGGGCAAAAGAUUUGCCCCUUUUCAUUAAUUAGGAGAAGGAAAAGGUCUUUCAAAGUUACAGAGGACAAGAAAAUAAAAGCCCCAAGCAUGGGGUGCAUAUCACAUCCGCACUACCCUCCCGGUAGAAUGUGGCCUAAAUGUUUCGCCCCCGCGGUUGCCCAAAAAAUCUCCGCUUUUUGGAUGGUGCGAAGAUGGAUGGUUGGAGGAGCAAAGUUGCGUCGAAAAACCCUUGCGUUCCUUUCGUCCCAGAUCGACUUGCAUACUAGCAUAGUGAGGGAAGACAUCGCCCUUCCGUGGAUCCUCUGGGUGGCGACCAUGUCGAACCACCAGUCCUGGAUACUCCUAUAGUUCGCCCAGACUGCAACGUCCAAGCUGACAAGCUGAAGCCAGUCCUUCACCAAGCCCCAUAGCCUCAGCGUGUAGCGGCAGCCAAAGAAGAGGUGCUCGACAGUUUCUAGGCCCCUGCGGCAAAGAGGACAAGGGCCACAGUUUGGCCACCCCCGCUUGGCCAACUGGUCAGCUGUCCAAAUCCUGUUUUGUAGAGCAAGCCACGCGAGGAAUUUGACGUUCGGGGGCGCCCAGGUCUUCCAAACAACCUUGCACAUGUUUGUGCGAGUGAUAGAUAGAAAUUGCGCAUUGUACGCAGAGGAAGCAGUGUAUUCUCCUGAGACCGUAUGCUUCCAAAUGAUGGAGUCUUCGGCAUGCUCAUCCAGACUAAUAGCGUGGAUGGAAGUCCACAACCCCAGGAAUUGUUUCAGGUGGUCAAAAGGGAACGCAGCCGUAGAGUUGAUUUUGCUAAUCCAUACUUCAUUGUGCAAAGCUUCCCUGACCUUCCAUUGCUUUCGAGACGAUGCCUCAAAGAUCAGGGGGGCGAUGUCCUUGGGCUUGCACCCGUUUAGCCAAGGGGACUCCCAGCAGGGCGCACGGGCACCGUUGCCGAUGGUGAUGGUCGUGCAUGCAUAGAAAAAGAGCUUAUCCUCCUCAUCACAUAUGUUACCCAGACCAACCCACAAACUCGUUGGCGCGGUCCAUUCGAGCCAGAGCCAGCGUAAACGAAGCGCUCGGCAGAACUUGUCCAGGUGUAGGACCCCAAGGCCCCCCAGGUCUUUGGGUCUACAGACGCGCUCCCAAUUGACUUUACACUUGGCCCCAGUCGUCUUGUGCGAGGCUGACCAAAGGAACGCUCGCUCAAUCUUGUUGAUGUUGUUCAGGGUGCCCCUAGGGAUGGGAAGAGCAGUAGCAGUAAAGACAACCUGCGAGGUCAUGACCGAUUUGACCAAAACCACUCGGCCCGGAGUUGCAAUGUAUCUCCCUUCCCAAGGUACAAGCCUUCCUGCGACCUGAUCCUCCAAGUACUGAAAGUCGGCAUGUUUGAGCUGCCACACCGACAAGGGCAGCCCCAGGUAUUUUAGCGGGAAGGAAGCUCUCUUUGCGGGGAGCCCACGAAGAAUGGCGUCAAGGUUAAGGUUUCGGCAACGAAUGGGGACGACUGAGCUUUUGGAGACAUUUGUACAGAGGCCCGUGACCUCCCCAAAACCUUUCAGAAUGGAAGCAAGGUUGUCCACAUCCUCCUUGAUAGGCUUGAUGAAAACUGCUGCAUCAUCGGCGUAGAGCGAGGUCCGAAAGGUAGAACCACGUCCCCUUAUCUUGUGAAGCAGCCCGUGCCUGGUGGCCAAGUCAAGAACCUGUUGGAGCGGGUCGAUGGCAAUGACGAACAAAAGGGGUGAGAGCGGGUCGCCCUGACGAAAGCCCUGACCAUGCAAAAAAGGAGGACCCGCCACACCGUUCAGAAGGACGCGAGACGAGGACGAGCUCAGGAGCGCUGCAAUCCAAUCCCUGAAGAUGCUCGGGAAACCUCUCCGCUGCAGGAGUUGCAGGAUGUAGUCCCAUCGUACGGAAUCAAAAGCCUUGCAGAUAUCCAGUUUGAAGAGUAAGGAAGGUGUCUUGCUUUUGUUGAGACGUCGAGCGAGGUUGCGGACGUACAUGUAGUUGUCAUGUAUACUUCGUUUUUUAAUAAACGCGCUCUUGGCAUUGGAGACCAGGUUGUCCAUGUGGGGUCCCAGACGAAGCGCCAGCGUCUUGGCUAUAAUCUUGGCAAUGGCGUGGAUGAGGCUAAUGGGCCUAUAAUCAGCAACUCCUUCCGCGCCAUCCUUCUUCGACAAAAGCACAAUGUUUGCUGAGUUUAGCCAAUGCAUGUUGGAAGCCCGCAGAGUCCCAAAAGAGUGUAUAACGCGUAUGAUAUCGUCUUUUACUAUUUCCCAACAGCUCUUGAAGAACAGCCCGGUGAACCCAUCGGGACCAGGGGCCUUAUCUUUGGGCAUUUGGCACAUGGCCGCAUACACCUCCUCCUCCGAGAAAGGGUUCCCAAGCUCGUGCAAAUCCACGUCGGGGAAAUUGAAGUCAUCCCAGUUGAAGUCCUUCUCCUGCCUGCCAUCCCUGCCCAAAGCACUAGAGAAGUGCUCAAAUAUGAUCUCCUCUUUCUCAGAAUGUCCAGUGAUCCAGCCAUUGUUGUGCUUGAGACGGUGAAUGUGAUUUUUCCUUCUACGCGCAUUCACCCUUAGGUGGAAAAACUUUGUAUUGCCGUCCCCUUCUUUUAAAUUCCUUAUUCUGGAGCACUGUUUUUUCCUUGAGCGCUCGAUCACCGCGAGGCCGAUAACCCUCCUCUUGAGCCUAGCCCGAAGCUCAAUCUCUCCGGCCGACAACUCUCUUGUCUCCUGGGCCACAUCAAGUCUGAGGAUGACCAUGAGUGCUGCGCGAAAGUGGAUCUUGGCUUGGGAGAAAAGUGUCCUGCUCCAUUUGGACAAGCAAGCCCCAGUCCUCUUAAGCUUGUGGAAAAGGUUCUGGCAUGGCUCGAAAUGUCCAGAAUCAUGAUGCCAAGCCUCCUUCACCACAUCUUGGAAACCUGGGAUGGACGCUCAGAAAUUUUCAAAUUUGAAUGUGCGCGGCCGCUGUGGUCCACUGUCCUCUGCUAGGAGAAGUGGGCAGUGGUCUGAGGGGGACGAUGAUGGAUCUUAGCAGUGAGUAACAUGAACACGAUCGAUAGCACACGAUUCGGCGUUACCUUUUUAUUGGCUACAUCAGGAACUCCCAUCUCGUCUCGUCGAUAUCAGCAGCUCCUUCACACGGCGGCAGGGAUCCAAGGCACGGCAGCCUCGCUGAUCGGAAAUUACUACCCCUGCCCCCGCACCAGACGGAAAGUCUUUUUUCUGUGCCACGGAUCAGGACGGCGGCAUCGACCCCACAUCGGAAUCUAUGCUCGCCUUCACCUCCGUGGACAAGGCAGCGAGCGCCGUCAGCGCAGUGAGCAGGGUGAACGACAAACAAGUGAAUCGAGAUGCAGAGAAACAGGAGAGAAAUCAGAGAACAAGGUGUCCUUUGUCCAUUUGAUUUGAUACUAGUACGUAGUGGAUCAGAGUACACGAUAUAUAGGGCUUAUAACGCAGCCCACACACACACACACUCACUGACCAGCCGCUAUCCCACCCCACUAGCACGACGUCGACAUUCCUCCGCUGUAUCUGCUGACCCAGUCGUUGGCUCAUCACGGAGUCACGCGCGCGCCAUCUCGAGGUCGCAGCGGAAGACGGGAACGGGCUGGCCCUGGCCGUGCGCUCGGCGGCGGCGGCGGAUGCACACGAGAGUGCAGGCGAUGACGGCGACGAAGCAGGCAACCGCCACGGUGGCCGCCAGCGCCACGGCCACCGUGUGGAGCGGGCCGGGCGGCGGCGCGGGCACCGGCGGCGGCGGAGGAGGUGCUGGGAGCGCGAGGCGGGGGAGGUCGGCGCCGGGGUCGACCUCGUCCGCGGUCACCGCGGCGGCGCCAGCGGCGGCGAGGAGGAGGAAGAGGAGGAGGUGCGCUCGCGGUGGCGCCAUCUGGUCGUGGUCGUGGUCGUGGAGGAAUGCCUAGUGCGCCGAUGAAGGUAGGCGGCCGGGGGUUUAUACUUUAUAGGGAGAUUGGGCAAU